rnacentral:rRNA from 1 species
AAUCAACGCUGGCGGCGUGCCUAACACAUGCAAGUCGAACGAGAAAGUGGAGCAAUCCAUGAGUACAGUGGCGACCGGGUGAGUAACACGUGACCAACCUGCCCUCGAGUGGGGAACAACAGCGGGAAACCGCUGCUAAUACCGCAUAACAUCCUCGGAUCGGAAGAACUGGGGAUCAAAGGAGCAAUUCGCUUGAGGAGGGGGUCGCGGCUGAUUAGCUAGUUGGCGGGGUAAUGGCCCACCAAGGCAAAGAUCGGUAUCCGGCCUGAG